rnacentral:rRNA from 1 species
AGUGAACGCUGGCGGUAGGCCUAACACAUGCAAGUCGAACGGCAGCACAGUAAGAUCUUGCUCUUACGGGUGGCGAGUGGCGGACGGGUGAGGAAUGCAUCGGAAUCUACUUUUUCGUGGGGGUUAACGUAGGGAAACUUACGCUAAUACCGCAUACGACCUACGGGUGAAAGAAGGGGAUCUUUGGACCUUGUGCGAUUGAAUGAGCCGAUGUCGGAUUAGCUAGUUGGCGGGGUAAACGCCUGACAAUGCUAGGAUCCGUAGCCGGUAUGAGUGAGUGAUAGGCCACACUGGAACGGAGACACGGUCCAGAGUCCUACGGGAGGCAGCAGUGUGGAAUAUUGGACAAAGGGAGCGAACCUGAUCCAACCAUACCGAGUGGGUUAAGGAAGCCUUCCGGUUGUAAAGCCCUUUUGUUGGUAGAGAAGAGCAGCAGGUUAAUACCCAGCUGUUCUGACGGUACCGAAAGAAUAAGCACCGGCUAACUUCGUG